rnacentral:tRNA from 1 species
AGGAUUUUCGCGAGCGGGCUGUAGGGCGACAUCGGCUUGCCGGUCAGGGCGCGCCAGUCCGGGCGCAGCCGUUCCAGCCGGCGUGAUUCCGC